rnacentral:rRNA from 1 species
UCUGAGGAAAAGAAACCAACAGGGAUUGCCUCAGUAGCGGCGAGUGAAGCGGCAAGAGCUCAGAUUUGAAAUCGUGCUUUGCGGCACGAGUUGUAGAUUGCAGGUUGGAGUCUGUGUGGAAGGCGGUGUCCAAGUCCCUUGGAACAGGGCGCCCAGGAGGGUGAGAGCCCCGUGGGAUGCCGGCGGAAGCAGUGAGGCCCUUCUGACGAGUCGAGUUGUUUGGGAAUGCAGCUCCAAGCGGGUGGUAAAUUCCAUCUAAGGCUAAAUACUGGCGAGAGACCGAUAGCGAACAAGUACUGUGAAGGAAAGAUGAAAAGCACUUUGAAAAGAGAGUGAAACAGCACGUGAAAUUGUUGAAAGGGAAGGGUAUUGCGCCCGACAUGGGGAUUGCGCACCGCUGCCUCUCGUGGGCGGCGCUCUGGGCUUUCCCUGGGCCAGCAUCGGUUCUUGCUGCAGGAGAAGGGGUUCUGGAACGUGGCUCUUCGGAGUGUUAUAGCCAGGGCCAGAUGCUGCGUGCGGGGACCGAGGACUGCGGCCGUGUAGUCACGGAUGCUGCAGUU